rnacentral:rRNA from 1 species
GAUGAACGCUAGCGGCAGGCCUAAUACAUGCAAGUCGAACGAGAUUAAGAGGCUUGCUUCUUAUGAAAGUGGCGCACGGGUGCGUAACGCGUAUGCAACCUACCUUAAUCAGGGGGAUAGCCCGAAGAAAUUCGGAUUAAGACCGCAUAAAAACACAGGAUAGCAUUAUCCAAUGUUCAAAUAUUUAUAGUAUUAAGAUGGGCAUGCGUGUCAUUAGCUAGUUGGCGGGGUAACGGCCCACCAAGGCGACGAUGACUAGGGGAUCUGAGAGGAUGACCCCCCACGCUGGUACUGAGACACGGACCAGACGACUACGGGAGGAAGCAGUAAGGAAUAUUGGGCAAUGGAGGGAACUCUGAACCAGCCAUGCCGCGUGCAGGAAGACAGCCCUCUGGGUCGUAAACUGCUUUUAUUAGGGAAUAAACCUUUCUACGUGUAGGAAGCUGAAUGUACCGAAGGAAUAAGGAUCGGCUAACUCCGUG